rnacentral:lncRNA from 1 species
UUCUCAGCAACCACUUUAAACAGCACAAAAAUAGAAACUGUUGUUUUAUCUAACACCUUCAAAUAUAUCUUAUACCUAUAUUAUGAAAGCAAUAUGUAAAACUUCUGACAGCACAUAAAUCCCACUAAAUAUUAUGAAAAAUAAACUUUAGAUUACUUGACCAAAAGAAACUUGCAUUCCUUAUUACAAGCAUCACAAAUGUACAC